rnacentral:rRNA from 1 species
UACCAGCACCCCGAGUGGUCGGGACGUCUAUUGGGCCUAAAGCAUCCGUAGCCGGUUCUACAAGUCUUCCGUUAAAUCCACCUGCUCAACAGAUGGGCUGCGGAAGAUACUAUGGAGCUAGGAGGCGGGAGAGGCAAGCGGUACUCGAUGGGUAGGGGUAAAAUCCGUUGAUCCAUUGAAGACCACCAGUGGCGAAGGCGGCUUGCCAGAACGCGCUCGACGGUGAGGGAUGAAAGCUGGGGGAGCAAACCGG